GACAAAUAAACCGAAUACCCUCAUAUAAUAAUGGGAAUAUGGCCCAUGAGUCUCUACCUGACUACCGUAAAUGGUCGGACUAUGAGGAAAGUAGCUGUCUGG
rnacentral:ncRNA from 3 species